GAUACUACGUGGUUGGUGAUUC
rnacentral:miRNA from 1 species